rnacentral:lncRNA from 1 species
UCAGAAUGUUCAAUGCACACAUGGUGCCCAAACCAUAUACAAAGACAGGCAGUAGUAGAAACCUGAUAUCACAAAUGAUAAUAUCCUUUAUAGGUACAAAUUGCUUCCAUGUUUAUGGCUGAAACAUGUGUACAUCAGAAACUUUAACUACAAUAUGGUAGAUAUCUACAGGACCAAGCAAGAAAUCAGAAAUAGAACAGCGGGCGUCUUAAGUAAAGCAAGCACCACCCGAUUACAUAUAAGUUUGUAUUCAUCCUCAGCACUGUCCAGGCUGAAGAGGGUACAUAGGGUCACAUACAGUCUGCAACAUCUGCUUGUCCUUCGAUAGCAUAACAACAUUAACUAAACACGUGGGUCAAACACAUAAAUAAACAUAUGCCGGACAAUAGGGCGCAAUAGAAUCGGAGCUAGCAGAGACACAGGAAACUGCGUUAGAACAUCCGAAGAGACACUCCCAUAGCCAGACAUCAUUACUUCGUGCAUCCACAAACAAAAGGAUAGGGUCCUGGAUAUAUAUAGAUUUGCAAGCGCAGAUUAGCAGGAUGCCCAUCAAAGGAGUCAUUUCUGAUGCAUAGUAAGGUUCAUGAUAUUCAAAACAGUAAUAAUGGUAGACUUUGCAUAACAUGACAACACAUCAUAUCUCAUAAUUAGAAUACAUUAUAUUACUGAAAACAGAAACUGAGGUGACCAAUUGGAAUAAUCCCAUUUUGGUGACCACAUUCCAUAGUUUAAAUUCAAAAAUUAGGCUUCUCCCUAAAGCAUACACUCAGAUAGGGGGCAUUUAAAAAGAAUCUGGAUGAAACACACAGGCAUACCUUCGAUAUUUCAUUGCACAUCUCAAUGGAGACAUUAUUAUCUUAUGGACCUCGUUAAAAUCGAUGACCUUAUUAGUUGCAACUAUAAUUAUAUGAAACAGGUACCUGCAACGAAAAAUGACAAACCAUGAUGGAUCAUAAAUGAAUUAAGCAGCUGGUUGCAGCACAACAUGCCCAACUUCUCACCUCUGUCUUUUUUAUUUUUCUUCAUUUAUCAAUACACAUAGUGACACACCAACGCCUUGACUAUGCUCUAGCUAUCACAGUGGUUUACAAAUUCCGGAUUCGUAUUCAAACAAAUGAACUAUAUAAUGAGUCAUGAUAGGUGGGUGAGCCUUGCUUCUGUUCGGUUGUAAUUACAGGGGGCAUGGUAGGUUGGGAGUCUGGCUUCUCUUUGUGUGUAAAGAUAGUGUGUCAAGAGAGCCUUGCUUUUGUUCGGUUACAACUUCAGCAAGCUUGCUAUAGAGAAAGUUUAAUGAAAACACUUAGAUAGCAAGUAAGCCAUGUGAGAUUAAAAAAAAGCACGGACACCAGCAAGAGAACUGAAAUAUUCCAGUUUCAUGAAAUGCAUCUCCUUUGUACCUCUUAUGAUUAGAGGAAAGGCCAUAAAUGGAAGAACCCAGAGUAGAUUUUAUACCUACAUAUAAUGGCAGGCUGGCAACAGUAGGGCAUUUUCAUUGGAUAAAUACAUCAAAUUUUACAAAACUAAAAUCAACUUCAUCUCUGUGUACCUCAUAUGAUUAGAGGAAAGGCCAUAAGGUAAGAACCUAAAGUUAGCACAGGAUUUAUACAUACAUGUAAUUACAGCGGCAGGGUGCUAUGCUAUUGGUGGUAUCCUUUUUAUAUAUAUCCUCACUGGUUAGCUGACAUAAGAAAAGGAGAAGAUCAGAAGGGUAUAACAAUUAUGAAGCUAUAACAGUUAUUAAACAAUGUGUCAGGCUCACAGGAAAAAACUCAGCGAGUUUUCGUAAGAGUAAUACAAAGAAAAACUUGAAAUUGAAAAUAUACACUUAAAAGAGUGGCCGAAGUAAAUUUUCCGCAUAACACAGUGAAUGCAAUUUCAUAAGAGGUAGCAAAACCAUGUAAUGCAAAUAGGCUGUGUUUUUUUGGGAUGUAUGGAGCAAAACAAUUCAACAACCCAAGGAGAAUAUUAUGUUGCAGCGGAUAUAUGAAGCUGAGUUAUAAUGCAUAAAAGAAUGACAAUGGACAAUAGUGACAUAAGAGGGUAAACAGGGUUUGCCGGGCACUAAUUAUGUUGUAGCACAAAAUACUAAUAAAUAUUAACUCUAAAGAUCAGUUAGGAGCCGGGGAAGGAACUGUAAAUAGCAUACGUCAGCAGAUUAAGCAAAGAGGCACUGAUUAUACAGAGAGACUCCAACACCAAACAAUUAGAGGGGGACAUCAAUCGCAUACACGGGAUGGAGGAAGAGAGCACAAACCAUACUUCAAGCAGGGAGAAAUCGUGUGCUAUUUCAAACAGAAGUAACAUUUUAUCUAGUGCACAAAAAUAUAGUUGUACAAAAUUACUUUAUUGUGUCCCACUUACAUAAAUCAUUUUCUUUUGAUACUAUCCCAGUUAAAGAGUUGGAAGUCUUAAGUCACAGGAAACAGGAAAGGCCAUAAGGUGGUAUAUUUUUUGAAUACCAAUGUAAUGAAAGGUGGUAUCUUUUUCGAAUACCAAUUCAUGGUGUCUUCUUCAAAUACCCUCAUCUGAUACCUAAUAUAAGAAAAGGUGAACAUCAGAAAUCUAUGUAAAUAGUAGAAGAAGGAUACAAGUAUGAUACAAAUGAACCAUAUAAUAAUGAUUUAUAGAGAUUAUCUACAAUGCAUGGCAACCAAAAUCGUUGCUUCUUUUGUUAGAUAUUAUGAUCCCAAAGUCUCCAUACAUAGACUAAAUCAGUAUAAUCUCAGUGUCAACUACAAAUAUACACAUUCUCAAACCUAGAGCAGCAAAACAACACGAAAUAAAUAUACUAAAAGACUAAAUUAAUGGGGAUAAUUAAGGCAAAAAAGGCAGCCCGGUGCAUGUAGCUCCCGCUUGCGCAGGGUCCCGGGAAGGGUCCGACCACUUUGGAUCUAUUGUACAUAGUCUUUCCCUGCAUUUCUGUAAGAGGCUGUUUCCAGGACUUAAACCCGUGACCUCAUGGUCACAACGCAACAGCUUUUACCACUGCGCCAAGGCUAAUGGGGAUAAUUAAGGCAAUGAAAAACAAAAGAUGAACAAUGAUUAUAUUGAAAGAUCAAAUUAGUGGCAGACAAAGAAAGCAUUUUGUUCUUAAAGAAACAGUGAAAACAACUUGCAGCAGGAUAAAAGCAUUUCUUUGAAAGUCUAGCAAUAUAUAAAUAGUUCAACUAGUAAAGGAUGUAUAUACAAUUUUAACACAUGAUUAUGCAGAAUAAACACACUUGACAGUUUCAUGAGAAAAGCAACAGCUGACCAACGAACAGAACAAGAAAGAAUUUAUGUACAUAAAGGAAACAACACUAUGUUACUAAGAUAGGAAAGAAACAUAUAGGCAUGAGGCACGAGAAGGCUAGAGAUUUAAAAAAUAGUUACUUCAACAUGAUACCUGAAAGAUAACUAUAUAACUUUCUCCCGUUGAGCUACCAGACACAAGUAACACAAACAGUGAGACAAAGAACACACCAAACCAUUUUUUUAAAGAUGGAUCGGCUUCAUGCACAGAGUAUUCACAGUGCAGCAUCAACACUGAACUCAAAUAUUUUAUCCAUCUAUUUUUUAAAGGAGGAAAAAACUCAUCGCUAUAUAACAUCUUCCAUGAUAGCAGAACUGGAAAAGGAGUGUUAGAGAUAAGAGCGGAGUUGGGGAUGGAUGUAGUUCAUGGGUGGGGGUCAGGAGGCAAGGCAAGUAAUCUGUAUACCUUUGCACAAGACAAAGACGACAAGGUCGCCGGCGCCGACAGCCUCUUCUGGCUCCAUGAGCCCCGCAGCCAUAAGCAUCGAUG